rnacentral:rRNA from 1 species
UACAGAGGUCUCGAGCGUUAGGCGGAAUCACUGGGCUUAAAGCGUGUGUAGGCGGAUCGUUAAGUACCUUGUGAAAUCCCACGGCUCAACCGUGGAACUGCUCGGUAUACUGGCGGUCUUGAGCCACCUAGGGGCAACUGGAACAAGCGGUGGAGCGGUGAAAUGCGUAGAUAUCGUCAGGAACGCCGAUGGUGAAGACAGGUGACUGGGCUAGUUCUGACACUGAGGCACGAAAGCGUGGGGAGCGAACGGG